rnacentral:rRNA from 1 species
AUUGAACGCUGGCGGCAGGCCUAACACAUGCAAGUCGAGCGAGCGGCGGACGGGUGAGUAAUGUAUGGGGACUGCCCGUUAGAGGGGGAUAACGACUGGAAACGGUAGCUAAUAACGCAUACUAUCGGAUAACCCAUAUGGGAUUAGCUAGUAGGUGAGGUAAUGGCUCACCUAGGCGACGAUCCCUAGCUGGUCGGAGAGGAUGAUCAGCCCCCCUGGGACUGGGACAGGGCCAAGGCACACCCAUACCCACCAUUUCAAAAUAUUCAGCAAUGAUGGCAAGCAUGGUACAGCCAUGCGGAGUGUAUUAAGAAAUCGCUAGGGUUAUAAUGUACUUUCAGGCGUGAGGCGUUACCGACAGAAGAAGCACCGGCUAACUCCGUGCCAGCAGCCGCGGUAAUUC